AAGGUCGGUAAGGUGAUAUGAACCGUUAUAACCGGCGAUUUCCGAAUGGGGAAACCCAGUGUGUUUCGACACACUAUCAUUAACUGAAUCCAUAGGUUAAUGAGGCGAACCGGGGGAACUGAAACAUCUAAGUACCCCGAGGAAAAGAAAUCAACCGAGAUUCCCCCAGUAGCGGCGAGCGAACGGGGAGGAGCCCAGAGCCUGAAUCAGUGUGUGUGUUAGUGGAAGCGUCUGGAAAGGCGCGCGAUACAGGGUGACAGCCCCGUACACAAAAAUGCACAUGCUGUGAGCUCGAUGAGUAGGGCGGGACACGUGGUAUCCUGUCUGAAUAUGGGGGGACCAUCCUCCAAGGCUAAAUACUCCUGACUGACCGAUAGUGAACCAGUACCGUGAGGGAAAGGCGAAAAGAACCCCGGCGAGGGGAGUGAAAAAGAACCUGAAACCGUGUACGUACAAGCAGUGGGAGCACAGAGCAAUCUGUGUGACUGCGUACCUUUUGUAUAAUGGGUCAGCGACUUAUAUUCUGUAGCAAGGUUAACCGAAUAGGGGAGCCGAAGGGAAACCGAGUCUUAACUGGGCGUUAAGUUGCAGGGUAUAGACCCGAAACCCGGUGAUCUAGCCAUGGGCAGGUUGAAGGUUGGGUAACACUAACUGGAGGACCGAACCGACUAAUGUUGAAAAAUUAGCGGAUGACUUGUGGCUGGGGGUGAAAGGCCAAUCAAACCGGGAGAUAGCUGGUUCUCCCCGAAAGCUAUUUAGGUAGCGCCUCGUGAAUUCAUCUCCGGGGGUAGAGCACUGUUUCGGCAAGGGGGUCAUCCCGACUUACCAACCCGAUGCAAACUGCGAAUACCGGAGAAUGUUAUCACGGGAGACACACGGCGGGUGCUAACGUCCGUCGUGAAGAGGGAAACAACCCAGACCGCCAGCUAAGGUCCCAAAGUCAUGGUUAAGUGGGAAACGAUGUGGGAAGGCCCAGACAGCCAGGAUGUUGGCUUAGAAGCAGCCAUCAUUUAAAGAAAGCGUAAUAGCUCACUGGUCGAGUCGGCCUGCGCGGAAGAUGUAACGGGGCUAAACCAUGCACCGAAGCUGCGGCAGCGACACUGUGUGUUGUUGGGUAGGGGAGCGUUCUGUAAGCCUGUGAAGGUGUGCUGUGAGGCAUGCUGGAGGUAUCAGAAGUGCGAAUGCUGACAUAAGUAACGAUAAAGCGGGUGAAAAGCCCGCUCGCCGGAAGACCAAGGGUUCCUGUCCAACGUUAAUCGGGGCAGGGUGAGUCGACCCCUAAGGCGAGGCCGAAAGGCGUAGUCGAUGGGAAACAGGUUAAUAUUCCUGUACUUGGUGUUACUGCGAAGGGGGGACGGAGAAGGCUAUGUUGGCCGGGCGACGGUUGUCCCGGUUUAAGCGUGUAGGCUGGUUUUCCAGGCAAAUCCGGAAAAUCAAGGCUGAGGCGUGAUGACGAGGCACUACGGUGCUGAAGCAACAAAUGCCCUGCUUCCAGGAAAAGCCUCUAAGCAUCAGGUAACAUCAAAUCGUACCCCAAACCGACACAGGUGGUCAGGUAGAGAAUACCAAGGCGCUUGAGAGAACUCGGGUGAAGGAACUAGGCAAAAUGGUGCCGUAACUUCGGGAGAAGGCACGCUGAUAUGUAGGUGAAGUCCCUCGCGGAUGGAGCUGAAAUCAGUCGAAGAUACCAGCUGGCUGCAACUGUUUAUUAAAAACACAGCACUGUGCAAACACGAAAGUGGACGUAUACGGUGUGACGCCUGCCCGGUGCCGGAAGGUUAAUUGAUGGGGUCAGCGCAAGCGAAGCUCUUGAUCGAAGCCCCGGUAAACGGCGGCCGUAACUAUAACGGUCCUAAGGUAGCGAAAUUCCUUGUCGGGUAAGUUCCGACCUGCACGAAUGGCGUAAUGAUGGCCAGGCUGUCUCCACCCGAGACUCAGUGAAAUUGAACUCGCUGUGAAGAUGCAGUGUACCCGCGGCAAGACGGAAAGACCCCGUGAACCUUUACUAUAGCUUGACACUGAACAUUGAGCCUUGAUGUGUAGGAUAGGUGGGAGGCUUUGAAGUGUGGACGCCAGUCUGCAUGGAGCCGACCUUGAAAUACCACCCUUUAAUGUUUGAUGUUCUAACGUGGACCCGUGAUCCGGGUUGCGGACAGUGUCUGGUGGGUAGUUUGACUGGGGCGGUCUCCUCCUAAAGAGUAACGGAGGAGCACGAAGGUUGGCUAAUCCUGGUCGGACAUCAGGAGGUUAGUGCAAUGGCAUAAGCCAGCUUGACUGCGAGCGUGACGGCGCGAGCAGGUGCGAAAGCAGGUCAUAGUGAUCCGGUGGUUCUGAAUGGAAGGGCCAUCGCUCAACGGAUAAAAGGUACUCCGGGGAUAACAGGCUGAUACCGCCCAAGAGUUCAUAUCGACGGCGGUGUUUGGCACCUCGAUGUCGGCUCAUCACAUCCUGGGGCUGAAGUAGGUCCCAAGGGUAUGGCUGUUCGCCAUUUAAAGUGGUACGCGAGCUGGGUUUAGAACGUCGUGAGACAGUUCGGUCCCUAUCUGCCGUGGGCGCUGGAGAACUGAGGGGGGCUGCUCCUAGUACGAGAGGACCGGAGUGGACGCAUCACUGGUGUUCGGGUUGUCAUGCCAAUGGCACUGCCCGGUAGCUAAAUGCGGAAGAGAUAAGUGCUGAAAGCAUCUAAGCACGAAACUUGCCCCGAGAUGAGUUCUCCCUGACCCUUUAAGGGUCCUGAAGGAACGUUGAAGACGACGACGUUGAUAGGCCGGGUGUGUAAGCGCAGCGAUGCGUUGAGCUAACCGGUACUAAUGAACCGUGAGGCUUAACCUUACAACGCCGAAGGUGUUU
rnacentral:rRNA from 1 species